CUGACAGUUGGCACAGUGUCCAGAGUGAUCCAUAUCAAACUGAGCUACCACUGGAAUGUUCCGUCAAAGAGGCGGGUGGACCCAGGGGGCGGGACAGACCAACAUAACCAAUUAAGGAGGAGACUGAGCGGUCUUCUUCAGUGGUUUUGCUCCCCGACCCUGCGGUGGGAAAAUGCGCUCACUUGUGGGAUUCUGGGAAGGCGGCGGUGGACGAAACAUCUGUUGGGAGCAAGAUGUAUGCAAGUCUGUGUACUGUAUGUGAAUGUUGGGACCGUGCCCUUGCAUUCGCUUUAAGUUUACAGAUUUGUUUGGAAAAUCUAGACAUGGUGAGGAAAAAUAUUCAAUAAAAGCAUUAUGUGGUAGUUUUGAAAGAACUUUUCAAGAUGCAUUGUAAUAUAGAGCUCUGAGCUGAUGAGUAAGUUUCAGUGAUACAGGUGUAUCCCUGAAGCUGCUUAUACACUGCUCAAAAAAAUGAAGGGAACACAAGG